rnacentral:rRNA from 1 species
AAGAAUUUAAAAGUCGAACAGACUUAAAAUUUAAGCGGCUACACCUAAAAUUAUAUCUUAAUCCAACAUCGAGGUCGCAAUCUUUUUUAUCGAUAUGAACUCUCCAAAAAAAUUACGCUGUUAUCCCUAAAGUAACUUGUUUUUUUAAUCGCUAAUAACGGAUCAAUUAUUCAUAAAUUAAUGAUUUAAAACAAUUAAAAGUUUAUUAAAUUUUAAUAUCACCCCAAUAAAAUAUCAUCUAUUAUCAUAACAAAAAAAAUCUACAAAAUUAUAAUAAUAUAAAUAUAAAGAUUUAUAGGGUCUUCUCGUCUUUUAAAUAAAUUUUAGCUUUUUGACUAAAAAAUAAAAUUCUAUUAUAAAUUUUUAUGAAACAGUUAAUAUCUCGUCCAACCAUUCAUACCAGCCUUCAAUUAAAAGACUAAUGAUUAUGCUACCUUUGCACAGUUAGUAUACUGCGGCCAUUUAAAAAAAAUUCAGUGGGCAGGUCAGACUUUAAAAAAAAUUCAAAAAGAC